rnacentral:rRNA from 1 species
UCUUGGUCAUUUAGAGGAAGUAAAAGUCGUAACAAGGUUUCCGUAGGUGAACCUGCGGAAGGAUCAUUAACGAGUUGUAAUGGGGCUUGAUGCUGGCAAGCUGUGCUUUCGGCUGCAUGUGCUCGCUCCUAACAAUCAUCUUCCAAACACCUGUGCACAUUUUUGAAGGGGUUCUGAGUUUGCUUGCCAUAUUUUUGGCGGUUUUCUUACGUUUCCCCUUCAUAUUUUAUUAUUAUACGCUGCUUAUAAUUAUGAACGUGUUCCGUGCCGCGCAAGGCCUUAAUUAAAAAUACAACUUUUAACAACGGAUCUCUUGGCUCUCGCAUCGAUGAAGGACGCAGCGAAAUGCGAUAAGUAAUGUGAAUUGCAGAAUUCAGUGAAUCAUCGAAUCUUUGAACGCACCUUGCGCUCCCUGGUAUUCCGGGGAGCACGCCUGUUCGAGUGUCGCGAAAUUUCUCAAGCUUGGGAUAGCUUUUUGUCUGUCUUGGCCUUGGUUGUUGGGCUUUGCCGUGUCCUCUAUUUGGAACGGCUGGCCUUAAAAGCAUUAGCUGGCCCUAAUGUGACAUUGGUUCUACUCAGCGUGAUAAUGCCCUGAUCGCUGAGGACAUCCUUUGGGAUGGCCAGUUCUCGUUUGGGGUUGCUUCUAAUCUGGUUUCACAGAUUCUUUAUGGUUCUGUGGCUCCACUUUUUCGGCUUUGACCUCGAAUCAGGUGGGACUACCCGCUGAACUUAAGCAUAUCAAUAAGCGGAGGAAAAGAAACUAACAAGGAUUCCCUUAGUAACGGCGAGUGAAGCGGGAAAAGCUCAAAUUUAAAAUCUGGCAAUCUUUCGUUGUCCGAAUUGUAAUCUAGAGAAGCGUUUUCCGCGCUGGACCGUGUACAA